UUCAUUCAUCUACUCCUGGAGUUGGAGAGCAACGAUCGCAACUACUUGCCCUUGAUCAGCAAAUCUCGGAAUUUAUGUGGGUCCAAUUGUUCAUCUUCCAAAAGAUAUCGACUCGAAGGAUGCCGCUGCAACAAAAUGUAAAUGCAGUGUCGCACCAGGACUGUAACAUAUGUAUGAUUCGAAGGAGAUUGUAGGUCGCCAUUUUAUUUUCGCCAAUCUGUUGUUACCCAAGAAACUUUGCUCUGGCAGUGUUGUUUUCUCUUG
rnacentral:sRNA from 1 species